GGGUUAGUAAAGGUUUCGACAGGGAUUUUGAAGCUGGAGAAGCUAUCCGCAGGAUGGUCGCGUUAAACCUCAAAUUAAAAUUAAACGCUAACGAUAAUUUAGCACUCGCUGCCUAAGCGCAGCCCGUCAGCCCGUGUGCACCUACACACUCGGUAACUGGCGUCAAACUUUGUAGGAAACGACAUAGCCUAAGCUUUGCGGUUAUGGUCGUAUCAUGAAGCUACCGAUUAUUUGCAGUUGCUUGUUACCGCAGGUAAGAGGGAACAGAGAUGAAGAAUCUCGGAAUAAUAAGCUAUGAUAGUAGAAGGACAGGGGAUGAAUUUUUGGACAGGGGUUCGACUCCCCUCUAAUCCAUUU
rfam:Butyrivibrio proteoclasticus strain P18 genome assembly, contig: Ga0066879_102